CUAUUUGUAGGUUAUGUAAACCGAUAGAUUGUGGUUCUGUAGAAUAUGUUUUGUCAUACUCAUAGU
rnacentral:tRNA from 1 species